CUGGCUCAGGACGAACGCUGGCGGCGUGCUUAACACAUGCAAGUCGAACGGUUCUCGAAGUUCGAGGUUGGAUGUUCGAAGUUCGAAAAAGGAAAGCAAUUCGAAUCUCGAACACCGAACCUCGAACUUCGAGGAUAGUGGCGGACGGGUGAGUAACGCGUGGAUAACCUGCCCAAUAGCCUGGGAUAACGCCGGGAAACUGGUGCUAAUACCGGAUACGUUCAUUGAACUGCAUAGUUCGAUGAAGAAAGGUGCAAACCGCUACUGGAUGGGUCCGCGUCCCAUUAGCUAGUUGGUAGGGUAACGGCCUACCAAGGCGACGAUGGGUAGCCGGCCUGAGAGGGCGACCGGCCACACUGGAACUGAGACACGGUCCAGACUCCUACGGGAGGCAGCAGUGGGGAAUCUUCCGCAAUGGGCGCAAGCCUGACGGAGCAACGCCGCGUGAGUGACGAAGGUCUUCGGAUUGUAAAACUCUGUCCAAAGGGAAGAAGAAAGUGACGGUACCUUUGGAGGAAGCCCCGGCUAACUACGUGCCAGCAGCCGCGGUAAAACGUAGGGGGCAAGCGUUGUCCGGAAUUACUGGGCGUAAAGGGCGUGUAGGCGGCUCUACAAGUUAGAAGUGAAACCUAUCAGCUCAACUGAUAGCCUGCUUCUAAAACUGUCGGGCUUGAGUGCAGUAGAGGGGAGUGGAAUUCCCAGUGUAGCGGUGAAAUGCGUAGAUAUUGGGAGGAACACCAGUGGCGAAAGCGGCUCCCUGGCCUGUAACUGACGCUGAGGCGCGAAAGCGUGGGUAGCAAACAGGAUUAGAUACCCUGGUAGUCCACGCCGUAAACGAUGGGUGCUAGGUGUUGGGGGUAUCGACCCCCCCAGUGCCGCAGUUAACGCAAUAAGCACCCCGCCUGGGGAGUACGGCCGCAAGGCUGAAACUCAAAGGAAUUGACGGGGGCCCGCACAAGCGGUGGAGUAUGUGGUUUAAUUCGACGCAACGCGAAGAACCUUACCAGGUCUUGACAUCUCCUGAUCGUCAUGGAAACAUGAUCUUUCCCUUCGGGGAACAGGAAGACAGGUGGUGCAUGGUUGUCGUCAGCUCGUGUCGUGAGAUGUUGGGUUAAGUCCCGCAACGAGCGCAACCCCUACCUUUAGUUGCCAGCAUGUAGAGAUGGGCACUCUAAAGGGACUGCCGUUGACAAAACGGAGGAAGGUGGGGAUGACGUCAAAUCAUCAUGCCCUUUAUGAUCUGGGCUACACACGUACUACAAUGGCCGGUACAGACGGAAGCGCAGCCGUGAGGUGAAGCGAACCCGAAAAAGCCGGUCCCAGUUCGGAUUGCAGGCUGCAACUCGCCUGCAUGAAGUCGGAAUCGCUAGUAAUCGCAGGUCAGCAUACUGCGGUGAAUACGUUCCCGGGCCUUGUACACACCGCCCGUCACACCACGAAAGUUGGCAACACCCGAAGCCGGUGG
rnacentral:rRNA from 2 species